rnacentral:rRNA from 1 species
GACGAACGCUGGCGGCGUGCUUAACACAUGCAAGUCGAACGGAAAGGCCUCUUUCUGGGGGGACACUAGUGGCGAACGGGUGAGUAACACGUGAGGAACCUGCCCUUUACAUUUGGAUAACUUCAUGAAACUGGGGCUAAUACCCGAUAUUAGCUCCUGCUUUAUGUUGCGGUUUGGAAAGUUUCGGCGGUUUGGGAUGGACUCGCGGCUUAUCAGCUUGUUGGUGGGGUAGUGGCUUACCAAGGCUUUGACGGGUAGCCGGCCUGAGAGGGUGACCGGCUAAAUUGGGGUCAGGGAUCGGCCACGAACCCGCCGGGAGGGCGUGGGGGGGAAUUUUGCACAUAGGGUCGAAGCCCGAUGGAUGAAUGCACGGGUGGGGAGGAUGGCUUUGGGGUUGUAAACCGGUUUUGGUCAUGACGAGGGUUUUUGUGACGGUAGCUGGUUAAGAAGCACCGGCUAACUACGUG